rnacentral:rRNA from 1 species
AACGAACGCUGGCGGCAUGCCUAACACAUGCAAGUCGAACGAUCCCUUCGGGGAUAGUGGCGCACGGGUGCGUAACGCGUGGGAACCUGCCCUUAGGUUCGGAAUAACUCAGAGAAAUUUGAGCUAAUACCGGAUAAUGUCUUCGGACCAAAGAUUUAUCGCCUUUGGAUGGGCCCGCGUUGGAUUAGCUAGUUGGUGGGGUAAAGGCCUACCAAGGCGACGAUCCAUAGCUGGUCUGAGAGGAUGAUCAGCCACACUGGGACUGAGACACGGCCCAGACUCCUACGGGGGGGGGCAGGGGGGAAUAUUGGAAAAGGGGCGAAAGCCUGAUCCAGAAAUGCCGGGGGAGGGAGGAAGGCUUUAGGGUUUUAAAGCUUUUUUACCCGGGAUGAUAAUGACAGUACCGGGAGAAUAAGCCCCGGCAAACCCCGU